rnacentral:hammerhead_ribozyme from 1 species
ACUUAGUUGAUGAGUCCCAAAUAGGACGAAACGUGCAUCUUGGAU